rnacentral:rRNA from 1 species
GAUGAACGCUGACAGAAUGCUUAACACAUGCAAGUCAACUUGAACUUCGGUUUGGGUGGCGGACGGGUGAGUAACGCGUAAAGAACUUGCCUCACAGAUAGGGACAACAUUUGGAAACGAAUGCUAAUACCUGAUAUUAUGAUUUUAGGGCAUCCUAGAAUUAUGAAAGCUAUAUGCACUGUGAGAGAGCUUUGCGUCCCAUUAGCUAGUUGGAGAGGUAACGGCUCACCAAGGCGAUGAUGGGUAGCCGGCCUGAGAGGGUGAACGGCCACAAGGGGACUGAGACACGGCCCUUACUCCUACGGGAGGCAGCAGUGGGGAAUAUUGGACAAUGGACCAAGAGUCUGAUCCAGCAAUUCUGUGUGCACGAUGAAGUUUUUCGGAAUGUAAAGUGCUUUCAGUUGGGAAGAAAAAAAUGACGGUACCAACAGAAGAAGUGACGGCUAAAUACGUGCCAGCAGCCGCGGUAAUACGUAUGUCACAAGCGUUAUCCGGAUUUAUUGGGCGUAAAGCGCGUCUAGGUGGUUAUGUAAGUCUGAUGUGAAAAUGCAGGGCUCAACUCUGUAUUGCGUUGGAAACUGUGUAACUAGAGUACUGGAGAGGUAAGCGGAACUACAAGUGUAGAGGUGAAAUUCGUAGAUAUUUGUAGGAAUGCCGAUGGGGAAGCCAGCUUACUGGACAGAUACUGACGCUAAAGCGCGAAAGCGUGGGUAGCAAACAGG